rnacentral:tRNA from 3 species
GUCCCCAUCGUCUAGUGGUUAGGACACCGGCCUUUCACGCCGGCAACAGGGGUUCGAAUCCCCUUGGGGACGCCA